UGAAUAUAAGCUCUAUGUAGCUUUUGGCUGUUAACCAAAAAGGAAUAAAAUAAUUUAUAUAUUC
rnacentral:tRNA from 1 species